CCCGGUGACUAUAGGUACUUGGCCAUACCCGUUCCCAUCCCGAACACGGUCGUCAAGCAAGUGCCGCCGAUGAUAGUGCUAUGCGCGAAAGUAGGUCAUUGCCGGGU
rnacentral:rRNA from 3 species